AUUGAACGCUGGCGGAAUGCUUUACACAUGCAAGUCGAACGGUAGAGGGGGCAACCCCUCGAGAGUGGCGAACGGGUGAGUAAUAUAUCGGAACGUGCCCAGUCGUGGGGGAUAACGUAGCGAAAGUUACGCUAAUACCGCAUACGAUCUAGGAUGAAAGCGGGGGAUCGCAAGACCUCGCGCGAUUGGAGCGGCCGAUAUCAGAUUAGGUAGUUGGUGGGGUAAAGGCUCACCAAGCCAACGAUCUGUAGCUGGUCUGAGAGGACGACCAGCCACACUGGAAAUGAGACACGGUCCAGACUCCUACGGGAGGCAGCAGUGGGGAAUUUUGGACGAUGGACGCAAGUCUGAUCCAGCCAUUCCGCGUGCAGGAUGAAGGCCCUCGGGUUGUAAACUGCUUUUGUACGGAACGAAAAGGUCUCUCUUAAUACGGGGGACUCAUGACGGUACCGUAAGAAUAAGCACCGGCUAACUACGUGCCAGCAGCCGCCGUAA
rnacentral:rRNA from 1 species